GGUUGUGGCUCAGUGGUAGAGCACUCGCCUAGCAUGCCGUGAGGCACUGGGUUUGAUCCUCAGCACCA
rnacentral:tRNA from 1 species